GGUUGGUCGUCUAGCAUAUAACAUAACAAGAGCCCUAAGGAUUUUUUGCUAGGUAUCAUUUAAUGCAAUGAACAACGCGACGGUAAACAACAAGAAAAGUUUGAGUUCUGAUAAGACAGUGAAAUACCAAAAACGUUCAAUCAACUCACAGCAAGAAAAAAGACUAGUUCUAGGGUAACCAAGGACAAUCACUGGUGCAUGGUGGGCCAUAUAUCUUGAUGCGGCUCAUCAAUCACAGAAAGGGUAAUUACUACAAAUGAUGGGCCCCGUUUUGUACGAACAUCUGACAGCGAUCAGUCAUCCGGUCGAGCCCGGAGAAUUUCAUUUCAUAUUCAACACGACUAUACAAAAUAAUGGGCCGUAUGACAAUGGAUGGAUACACGAAAAUCAUACUCUACAUAAUAUACAACAGCAUCAAGAAUAAUCCGAUUUCGAUGAGAUGGCACGGCAUAACAAAUAGCACAAAGAGAAAUUUCUUAACGCUCUUCCUUGGUGCGUUCAGCUACACCACCUACUAUCAGGCGUCUCACGAAGAAACCCAGAACUUCCUAGCUAUAGCCAAUGGAGAAGACUGUACUCCCGUCCCACAAAAUUUGAUUGAUCUUGACAUCAGCCAGUCUUUAGAAGUUCAAACAGUCAAACAACAAAAAUAAAACGUGAUGUCCUUGUUCGUCAAAAUACGAAUUUGUUAAACUCUAAGCAAAAAAAUAAUAAAAAUUUUAAUAAAUCA